UACGAAGGGGGCUAGCGUUGCUCGGAAUCACUGGGCGUAAAGGGUGCGUAGGCGGGUCUUUAAGUCAGGGGUGAAAUCCUGGAGCUCAACUCCAGAACUGCCUUUGAUACUGAAGAUCUUGAGUUCGGGAGAGGUGAGUGGAACUGCGAGUGUAGAGGUGAAAUUCGUAGAUAUUCGCAAGAACACCAGUGGCGAAGGCGGCACUCUGGGCCGGUACUGACGCUGAGGAGCGAAAGCGUGGGGAGCGAACAGG
rnacentral:rRNA from 1 species